CGCCAUCCCGUGCCGUCCUUCGAGCCCUCCUGCUGCUGCAGCGGCAAGUGGCUUGGAUGCAGAUCUCCUUUUGCGCUAAGUAAGGAUAUUUUGAUUCCCCACUCUGCUUUCAUCGUUAAUGCAUCCUGAAGAGCCACAGCAGCCCUAGGUACCCUCAUCCCCUUUGGAAAAGGAGCUGGCCUGGACAGCAUGGCCGUUUCUCCAUCCCGGCCGAUGUCCCUCAGAGCAAAGCCCUCCCCAUGGUCUGACUUGCCCAGUCCAUGGUUCGCCUGCAGCUGCUCCAAGUUUCCUACGUCCUUCACGGAGCACGAACAGUCCUCAAGAAGAUCAUGCAGCUCCUCUUCUCAGCAUGGAGGGGACAAAGCUGUGGCUUUGGUGCCACCGCAGCAGUCACACCGAGACCCAUGCUGCCGCCGGGUGCCGGUGGGCAAGCAGAGGGCAUUGGCAGGGCUGGGAGAUCACAACGAACGCACUGAGUAUUUCCACUCCCAGCCGAGCUUCACUUCCCACCCCGAGCCCUGCCUCUCCUGGAAAUCAGAGCACCUUCAAAGCACACAUGGGGUGAUGUUUGCAGAAUGACUCAGACCAACUUGAACUGCUGCUAAUAAAUUCUAUUACAGCAAUAACCAAAUUUA